GCGAGUCAUUGUAGCAUACAAGGCAUACGGCUCAGUAACGCGUAGUCCACCUAACCUAUGGACGGGAAUAACCUCGGGAAACUGAGAAUAAUGCCCGAUAGAACAUUAUGCCUGGAAUGGUUUAUGUUCCAAAUGAUUUAUCGCCGUAGGAUGGGACUGCGGCCUAUCAGUUUGUUGGUGAGGUAAUGGCCCACCAAGACUAUUACAGGUACGGGCUCUGAGAGGAGUAGCCCGGAGAUGGGUACUGAGACACGGACCCAGGCCCUAUGGGGCGCAGCAGGCGAGAAAACUUUGCAAUGUGCGAAAGCACGACAAGGUUAAUCCGAGUGGUUUCUGCUAAAGAAACCUUUUGUCAGUCCUAGAAACACUGAUGAAUAAGGGGUGGGCAAGUUCUGGUGUCAGCCGCCGCGGUAAAACCAGCACCUCAAGUGGUCAGGAUGAUUAUUGGGCCUAAAGCAUCCGUAGCCGGCUCUGUAAGUUUUCGGUUAAAUCUGUACGCUCAACGUACAGGCUGCCGGGAAUACUGCAGAGCUAGGGAGUGGGAGAGGUAGACGGUACUCGGUAGGAAGGGGUAAAAUCCUUUGAUCUAUUGAUGACCACCUGUGGCGAAGGCGGUCUACCAGAACACGUCCG
rnacentral:rRNA from 1 species